rnacentral:rRNA from 1 species
AAUCUAAGCUUGUAUGAACUUAUUAUUAGGUCUAACCAACUAAUGAGUACUCAUCUGGCGUCUUACUCUAAGGAUUUAUUAAAGUGCCUAACAAAAUUUAUCAUUAAUUUUGACCUCAAAUCAAGUAAGGAUACCCACUGAACUUAAGCAUAUCAAUAAGUGGAGGAAAAGAAACCAACAGGGAUUGCCUCAGUAACGGCGAGUGAAGCGGCAAAAGCUCAAAUUUGAAAUCUAACACUUUCAGUGUUCGAGUUGUAAUUUGAAGAAAGUUUCUCUGAAUAGUCCUUUAUCUAUGUUCCUUGGAACAGGACGUCAUAGAGGGUGAGAAUCCCGUAUGAUUUUGGAUACUAUUCUUUGUGAGAUUCUUUCGAAGAGUCGAGUUGUUUGGGAAUGCAGCUCUAAGUGGGUGGUAAAUUCCAUCUAAAGCUAAAUAUUGGCGAGAGACCGAUAGCGAACAAGUACAGUGAUGGAAAGAUGAAAAGAACUCUGAAGAGAGAGUGAAAAAGUACGUGAAAUUGCUGAAAGGGAAGGGCUUUAGGUCAGACUUGGUGUUUAAUGAUUAUCUUCUCUUUUUGAGUUGUGCACUCGUUUUUCACUGGGCCAAUAUCAGUUUUUGUGGUAGAGCACCUAUUGGAAUGUGGCUUACCUUCGGGUGAGUGUUAUAGCCUUUAGACGAUCUAUUUACGGGGACUGAGGACUGCGCGUUAUGCUAGGAUAUUGGCGUAAUGACCUUAAGCCGCCCGUCUUGAAACACGGACCAAGGAGUCUAACGUCUAUGCGAGUGUUUGGGUGUAAAACCCGUACGCGAAAUGAAAGUGAACGUAGAUUGGGGCCUCUUUUGAGGUGCACAAUCGACCGAUCCUGAUGUUUUCAGAU